UGGGGAAUAUUGCGCAAUGGGCGAAAGCCUGACGCAGCAAUGCCGCGUGGAGGAUGACGGUCUUCGGAUUGUAAACUCCUGUUAAGCGUGAAGAAAAGCUCACUGGUAAUAUAAGUGGGAAAUGACGGUAGCGCUAGAGAAAGCACUGGCUAAUUUCGUGCCAGCAGCCGCGGUAAUACGAGGAGUGCAAGCGUUAUUCGGAAUUAUUGGGCGUAAAGGGUGUGUAGACGGCGUAUUAAGUCUAUUGUUUAAUUCUUCGGCUUAACCGAAGGUCAGCGGUAGAAACUGGUAUGCUAGAGGGUGAGAGAGAGAAGUGGAAUUCCCGGAGUAGCGGUAAAAUGCGUAGAUCUCGGGAGGAACACCGAUGGCGAAAGCAGCUUCUUGGCUCAUUCCAGACGUUGAAACACGAAAGCGUGGGGAGCAAACAGG
rnacentral:rRNA from 1 species